GUGUGUGUGUGUGUGCAGGAGGUGAAGGAUCUGGCUGAGCUGAGGGAGAAUCUCCAGAAGGGUCAAACACUACUGAGAGAAAAACAGGAGACACUCAACCAGCUGGAAACAUCCCUGACAGAGGAGGUGUCAUGUGAUGACGGUGAGCGGUCAGCUGAUCGUAAAGUGACGUUUGAUGUGACCGAAUCAGAGAUGAGCAGUGUUUACAGCCCAGAGGGAACAGUUCCAGUGAAGGUGCAGCAGUUGGCCGACUCUCUGCAGCUGAUCUCAGGUCAGCUCAACUCUGUGUUAGGAGCUCUGAGUUCAGUAACACACAAACAAGCUCCGCCUCCUCUGACCACACCCCUGCUGCCCCGUCCCCUCGUGGGCGUGGCCUACAAACCCCUCCUCAUCGCUGUCUAAUGGAUUCGCGCACAGACCCACAGAAGCUAUGCAGAACCGCUGGAGCGGCCUGAGCACAGAAACCAGCAGAACACACACAACCUUCUUAGGAUACACACCACUAAGUCUGUCGAGUCUGCGUCCUCCAGAGGUCGAAGGUCAGCGGCUGCAGGGCCUUAUAGAAGGAAACAAACGCUGGCUGGAGGCACAACGGAAGAACCACAAUAUUCCUCUGUUCCCGAAGCUCAGAUCAGCGUCCGGCGGCAGCGGCGGCGGCUUCAUUCAGCUCAGCCUCGACGACAACAACCAGAUUAAAGUUCAUCAUUUCUGAAGCGCAGCAGAACAAACACACUCCACACACACACACACACACAC